rnacentral:rRNA from 1 species
CCUACGGGAGGCUGCAGUGAGGAAUAUUGGUCAAUGGCCGUAAGGCUGAACCAGCCAAGUAGCGUGAGGGAAGACUGCCCUAUGGGUUGUAAACCUCUUUUAUGCGGGGAUAAAGGUGUCCACGUGUGGAUGUUUGCAGGUACCGCAUGAAUAAGGACCGGCUAAUUCCGUGCCAGCGGCCGCGGUAAUACGGUAGGUCCGGGCGUUAUCCGGAUGUAUUGGGUUUAAAGGGAGCGUAGGCCGGUCUUUAAGCGUGCCGUGAAAUUUUGUGGUUCAACCAUGAGAGUGCGGCGCGAACUGGAGACCUGGAGUGCGCGGAAGGCAGGCGGAAUUCGUGGUGUAGCGGUGAAAUGCUUAGAUAUCACGAAGAACCCCGAUUGCGAAGGCAGCCUGCCGCAGCGUUACUGACGCUGAAGCUCGAAAGCGCGGGUAUCGAACAGGAUUAGAUACCCCUGUAGUC